rnacentral:rRNA from 1 species
UGGGUUAGUGGCGGACGGGUGAGUAACGCGUGGGUAACCUGCCUUACACAGGGGGAUAACACUUAGAAAUAGGUGUUAAAACCGCAUAAGCGCACAGCUUCGCAUGAAGCGGUGUGAAAAACUCCGGUGGUGUAAGAUGGACCCGCGUCUGAUUAGCUUGUUGGCGGGGUAACGGCCCACCAAGGCGACGAUCAGUAGCCGGCCUGAGAGGGCGGACGGCCACAUUGGGACUGAGACACGGCCCAGACUCCUACGGAAGGCAGCAG